AGAGUUUGAUCAUGGCUCAGAAUGAACGUUGGCGGCGUGGAUUAGGCAUGCAAGUCGUGCGAGAAGCCAAUUAGCUUGCUAAGAGGCGGACAGCGGCGAAAGGGAGAGUAACGCGUGGUUACGUACCCUCGAGACCGGGAUAGUGUUGGGAAACUGGCAGUAAUACCGGAUAACAUCUUCGGAUCAAAUGGUGUGAUUCCGCUCGAGGAUUGGACCGCGUACUAUUAGCUUGUUGGCGGGGUAAUGGCCCACCAAGGCUGCGAUGGUUACCGGGUGUGAGAGCAUGGCCCGGCUCACUGGGACUGAGACACUGCCCAGACACCUACGGGUGGCUGCAGUCGAGAAUCUUCGGCAAUGGACGAAAGUCUGACCGAGCGACGCCGCGUGCGGGAUGAAGGCCCUCGGGUUGUAAACCGCUGUCAGUAGUUAGGAAAUGCAUGGGGGUUCUCCCUCAUGCUUGACCGAUCUUCAGAGGAAGGACGGGCUAAGUUCGUGCCAGCAGCCGCGGUAAGACGAACCGUCCAAACGUUAUUCGGUAUCACUGGGCUUAAAGCGUGCGUAGGCGGCUUGGUAGGUGAGAUGUGAAAGCCCACGGCUCAACCGUGGAAUUGCGUUUCAAACCCCCAAGCUCGAGGAAGAUAGGGGUGAUGGGAACUUAUGGUGGAGCGGUGAAAUGCGUUGAUAUCAUAGGGAACACCGGUGGCGAAAGC
rnacentral:rRNA from 1 species